GAAAAACCUGUUUGUUGCUGGCAGCCUUCUCUCGGAGGAAUGUGAUGCAGAGCAAAGAUAAAAGCACAAGCAUCUGUUAAGAUGAUUGGCAUUAUCCUGACAAUGGUGUAAAAAUCAUCUGCUUGGGAUGGCAAGCAGGCACCAGCCAAACAACAUCAACAUCAGCUUCAAUUUGCAAUAAACGAAGAUUUGAGCUGUGGAGAGUCCAUUUACUUUCUACAGAAAGAAGAUCAAGGAUGGGUAUUCAAUGGAAGUCCGUUUUCUUCCAAACUUGGAAAUACUCUACAGGAUUGGGGAUUUUCCAAAAUUCCAGUUUGCAAGACACAAAGGAAGUUCUUUUCACAAAAUGAUGCCUCAUUUUAACAAAAUAAGUGGUAAGCGAAAAACCUCAAGCACAAGAAGACUUGCUGUUUAGUUGGUAAUUCAUGUCUGAGUUCAAGCAAGGUGUCUGGCUUUUUUUUUUUUCUUUUUCUUUUUUUUUUUUUUUUGAAAUGUAGUUUAUUAUUAAUAGACUAUUUCUCAAAUAUAACUUUUGACUGAAUCAUUUGUUUCAAACAGGAGGACAUCAUGGGGCUGAUGAAAACAUUUGAAAGUGCUAAGUGUACAAAUCAGAAAGAAAAAUAUUUACCUUUCAUGAAGGCAUGAUGGUAAUUAGAAGAUUCUGGAGACAUUUUCAGCUGCUGCUUGGAAACUUGGCACCAUGGCCAAGGGACUCGUUCUUGCACUUUACUCCCCUGAUACAAAACUCCACGCAGACUUCUGUAAGCACUCACGGGGGAAGCACUGCAGAACAGACCCAUUUGUUCUCAAGGAGAAAAAUCCUAAUGUGUUGGCUUC